rfam:Schistosoma mansoni, Puerto Rico, WGS project CABG01000000 data, contig: 0230
GUCGGAGUGGCUGAGAGGUCUAAAGAGCCAGACUUUACAAUGUGAGAAUGAGUUUGAAUCCCAUUUCCGACA